AAAAAAAAAAAAAAUAUUAACCUAUUAAUAAUAUAUAAGAAUUGUUUAAAAGGCUUCACAUAAUAUAUUCUCAAUGAAAGAAUUCAUUACUUAACUCUUAAAAAUAUAAUUAAUAUGCGCCAUGAUAUUCGUAUUUGAAAAAAAAAAAAAAAAAGAUUUACAGAAUUAAUCAUACAUAUAGAGUAAGUACAAAAAAACAUUGCAAGUCUAAAUAUUCUCAUAAUACAAAAUCAUACGUACUAGUUCGAGUUACGUAUAUAUAUGCCAUAUUAAUUUUCGAACGAUCUUUUAUAUUUUCAAAAAUUGUCAAAAACAAUUGUUGAAAAUAAUUAAUUGUUUAGCACAAAAAUCAAUGUAAAUUCAAUUCAAACGUUUAUCUAAUUACCAUACCCCAGUUAGUUAGUUGUAGUACAUUGGUAAUUUUUUUUUUCUCUUUUAUCUAUACUUCCUGCCUUUCUUUUUGUUUUCUUAUUCAUUAAGAUAGAUCACGGUUGAAAAAAUUAAUCUCGUCGAUAUAUUCGAAAAAAAAAAAACAAAAAAAAAACAAAAAAACAAAAUCAAUUCACUUCUGGCGUCGUUUACCUAUUGAAUUUCUUUGUAAUUUUGGAUCGUUCGUGGUUGAAAUUGUCUCGAAUGAUGAUUUUGAUUGAUAAGAUCCUGAAUUUUUGGAUCUCAUUGGACAAUGGCUCACGGUAUGCGCUGUAUCUCCAGUAGCACCACAGAUCGGACACGUAUAUGCCCUAUUAAAAAAUAAAACUAUUAUUGGCAUAUGAUUUAAAUUCAAUAUAAAAAUUUAAGCUCAACACGAUCGAUAUUAUCAUUAUCGAUAAUAUCGAUCGAGUGUUCUCAAGUUCGAGAAUUAAAUCUAUCAAGGAUUUCUACGAAGGAAGAAAAUAAAAUUAAAACAUUAUAUUAUAAAUAUACGAUUAAUAUUAAAUUUAAUUAAACACAAAUUGAAAUUAUACUCUAUCGAUAUCUUUAUCGAUAAUAUUGCCGACUGAAUGAAAUCAAGUUAAAGAAAAUAUUUGACAGCAACGCCACCUACCGAGAAUCCCUAUGAAAUAAAAAUACUAAAAACAAAUGAAAUCACGAAACUAUCGACGAACUCUCGUAUCUCGAAGCUAUCGGAUAAAAGACAUCGAAAGUACUUUCGUGCUAUUGUAAUAGAAAUCCCCUCUCGGGUUUACUCUCUACAGAGGAUAAACAUACUAGACGUAUUAUAUAUGUCCGUGAAUAAAUACGAUUUAUCAUUUCCUCGCCGCUUACCUUCAAAGCUGCAUGCGUAGCGACGGCGGUGCCAGCGUCCAAAAAGUAGAAAACAAAAGACGAAAACUUUUACAAAGCUCAGAAUUUUUCACAAGAUAGAAUACGAAGAAAAAAGUAUAUAUAUGUGUAUGCAUAUAUAUAUAUAUAUAUAUAGGUUAAAUGUUAAAGAUUAAUAUAUAUUAUGUUAGUAUAUAUUUGAAAAAUUAAAAAAUAUUUUCACCUAAGAACGGGACACUGCACACGGCCAUCAGCAUACUUGAUCAAAUGUUGCCGAUAAUAUAUUUCCUCAACGCCAUUGUUUCUACAAAAGACGCAUACGUUUGGUAAUGGCUUUUUCGGCUUUUUUCGACGAAUAUUAGCUACAGGCUGUUGAUAAUCGUCGACAUCCGGACAAUAUUCAAAAUCCCGUCCAUUGUGACGAAAUUCUUCCAUCACGUCGUCCACUGUAUUAACAAAACACAUAUACAUAUGUACAUACAUACAUAAACACAUUUUUAUUAUAGAAUUACAAUGUAAUAUUCGAAUCGAUAAUCAAACGAGCAUAUUUGUUUUUGAUAUUCUAUCGUAUUAAUGUAUCUUCUCUACACAUAAAUGUUCCUCUUUUAAAAACUAA